rnacentral:rRNA from 1 species
GGGUUCGAUCAUGGGCUCGUGAUUGAACGCUGGCGGAUGCUUUACACAUGCAAGUCGAACGGCAGCACGGACUCCCGGUCUGGUGGCGAAAAGAACGGGGUGAGUAAUGUAUCGGAACGUGCCUAGUAGCGGGGAUACCAGCGGCGAAAGCGUAGCUAAUACCGCAUACGCCCUUCUCGGGAAAGCGGGGGACCUUCGGGCCUCGCACUAUUAGAGCGGCCGAUAUCGGAUUAGCUAGUUGGUGGGGUAACGGCUCACCAAGGCGACGAUCCGUAGCUGGUUUGAGAGGACGACCAGCCACACCGGGACUGAGAUACGCUCCAGACUUACGAGGUAGCAGUGGGGAAUUUUGGAUAAUGGGGGAAACUGAUCCAGCCAUCCUGCGUGCGAUGAAGGCCUUCGGGCUUAAAGCACUUUUGGCAGGAAGAAACGGCACGGAUAAUACCCCGUGCAACUGACGGUACCUGGUAAUAAGCACCGGCUAACUUCCACUCGCGCCAGCAGCCGCGGUAAUACGUAGGGUGCAAGCGUUAAUCGGAAUUACUGGGCGUAAAAGUGUGCGCAGGCGGUUCGGAAAGAAAGAUGAACCUAGAGAGCUUAACUUUGGAACUGCAUUUUUAACUACCGAGCUAGAGUGUCGAGGGAGGUGGAAUUCCGCAGUGGGUGAAAUGCGUAGAUAUGCGGAGGAACACUGAUGGCGAAGGCAGCCUCCCUGGGAUAACACUGACGCUCAUGCAUGAAAGCGUGGGGAGCAAACAGGAUUAGAUACCCUGGUAGUCCACGCCCUAAACGAUGUCAACUAGCUGUUGGGGCCUCGGGCUCAGUAGCGCAGCCACGCGAAGUUGACCGUCUGGGGAGUACGGUCGCAAGAUUUAAACUCAAAGGGUUUUGAUGACUCACAAGCGGUGGAUGAUGUGGAUGACAAUUCGAUGCAACGCGAAAACUUACCUUCACCUUGACAUGUCUGGAAUCCUGAAGAGAUUUGGGGAUGCUCGCAAGAGAACCGGAACACAGGUGCUGCAUGGCUGUCGUCAGUCAGCCGUGAGAUGUUGCUGUCCUGGCAACGAGCGCAACCCUUUGUCAUUAGUUGCUACGAAAGGGCACUCUGACGAGAUCGCUGGCAUAAACUGAGGAAGGUGGGGAUGACGUCAAGUCCUCAUGGCCCUUAUGGGUAGGGCUUCACACGUCAUACAAUGGUCGGGAUGAGGGUCGCCAACCCGCGAGGGGGAGCCAAUCCCAGAAACCCGAUCGUAGUCCGGAUCGCAGUCUGCAACUCGACUGCGUGAAAGUCGGAAUCGCUAGUACCCGUGUGAUCAGCAUGUCACAGUAACAUGUUCCCGGGUCUUGUACACACCGCCCGUCACACCAUGGGAGUGGGUUUUACCAGAAGUAGUUAGCCUAACCGUAAGGAGGGCGAUUACCACGGUAGGAUUCAUGACUGGGGUGAAGUCGUAACAAGGUAG